rnacentral:tRNA from 1 species
GGAUGAGUAGCUCAGCUGGCAGAGCAACGGACUCUUAAUCCGUGGGUCGCGGGUUCGAUCCCCGCCUCAUCCA